GGUGGGGCAGGGGGGCGGAUGGGGGCCGGGCGCGGGCCCAGGGAUGCCCGGGACACCCGGAGGGUGCAGAACGCGGCGCGGUGACAGGCGGAGGGGGCAGAGCAGAGGACACGCGGGUCCCGGACUUUGUUCGGCGGCUCCGUGCGUAAGGCGGUGGCUCACGUUGGGCCGCGCUUUCCAGUCUACAGGCACUUGGACGCCUGUUGUCCGAGUGUCCAUCACUCCUUCCUCCCAUCGCCGCGGUGCAUUGUGGGGUUUAUGCGUCGUAUGGCUCAACUCUGGGAGGGGACCAAGGUCUAUUCUUCUGGUUUGUGGGCAUGGGUAACGGGUACGAAGAAGUGGUGGUCCUCACCACGACCCUCUGUGGGAAACAUGAAGCCCCUUUUUGCAGGUGAAGAAACAGGCACAGAGAGCAGGCGGUGAAUGCACUUGUUGGGUGUGAUGGGGCCAGGCUCGGAGGUCGUGUCAUUGAACCUCUUCCCGUACCGCUGCGGAACCAGAGGCGACGUGAUGCUGAACGUCCAUCCAGGGUAUUAAAUACCAUCUCCCACGUGCAGUCCUCAAAAGUCGCCCGGUGCGCCCAGGCAUCUUGACCCUCAGCGCUGAACCCUGCCGCCUCUAACAGCAGGUUUUCUUCACCAGAGGCAUUCUUUAUAUCAAUUUGUUCCUUUCCUUGAGUUCCGUAUUUGCCUGUUUUGUGCCAGCCAGGUCUUAAACUCCUGAAGCAUUUCCCUGAAUGGGGAAAGAAGUGAGUAGAACAUGGUGAACUGAUCGCCACAGCAAAAGCCCUGCACGGAGACCUGGGUCUUAAUCCCAGCUCUACCAAAACAGCCGACUUCACAGCUUUGGAUGAGCCAGGCUGGCAGGAAUCUUGGAGCUCUCCCAACCCACUGUCCCAAACUCCAGCGUGCAAGGAAGCUUGUUAAAUGUGAAUUCUGAUCCCACAGGUCUAGGAUAAGCCAGGAAAUGUGCAUUCUAUCAGGACUCUCAGGUGAUCUGAUUGCAGGUGGUCUACCUUUGGACCACCUUUUGAAAGAAUUCUCAGAGUGUUUCAGGACCCCUGGAAGUCCCUCAGGUGCUUUCAGGUGGAAGAGGGGACAAAACUAUUUCCACAGUAGCAGUAGGACACUAUUUGGCUUUUUCAUUCUCAUUCUCUCACGAGUGUACAGUGGAGAUUUCCAGAGGCUACAGGGCAUGUGAUAGGGAAGAGAUUAAAGGUAGAGGCAGACAGGAGAAUCCAGCUGUCUUAAGCUGUAUGAAGCCAGAUGUUACAGAGGUUCGCCAAGCUGUCAAACAGUACCGCUCAUCUCCCUGAAUUUCCAUUUCUUUUGAGAAAUUGUUAUUCAGAAGUUUCUCAGUUUUAAUUUUAAAAUGGGAAAUAUUGACUGAUAUAUCUCACAUAAACAAACAUUCUUUGGUUCCUCCAUAAUUGUUAAGAGUGUAAAGGGGUCCUGAGACCAACAAGUUUGAGAACCACUGGUCUAGCCCAACUCAUGUUUUAGAGAUGAGGAAAUUGGGGCUCAGAGAGCUGGGACUUGCUGAGGCACAUAGUGACAAACACUAGAACUGGGGAUGGGUUAGAUGCUCUCCAAGGUCUCACUCAAUAAACCUGCGAUUUGGAGAGACAGCCUCAGUCGUGGGACAGCACACCACUGCAGAACUCAGAUCAGAUGGCUUCUCAAAGGAUCUGGAACAUCUUUCUCAGAAGCUGCUUGAUGGAGAGGGAAAGGAAUGGAUUUUGGUGCCACAUGGACCAUGGGUUGCUCCGGUUCCAUUUCUUUCUAGUUAUACAAUUUGGGGUAAGUUACCAAAUCUCAGCUUCCUCAUGUGUAAAACAGGAAGGACGAGAUCUCACAGGGUAGCUCUAGGGUUAAAUGAAACAAAUGGGAACUUGCGUUCUGAUACUUAGUACCUAUAUACUAGCUUCUAUCUUUUUUAUGAAAAGGACUCAAAAAGAAGAGACAUAAACUGCUUCCUGCAAAGUUCCUGAGCGGUUCCCAUGGUUCAAGCUCAGCUGGUGAUAAAAUGGUUCAUUGUUGAAUUGUUUGCCAUAGAAAAAAUUCCGAUUGGAUAAUGACAUAACCAUGAAUUUCACAAUAUCCUGAACCAAACACACAUCAUCCCAGGCGUCUUCUCCUCUCUUCCCUGUAGUCAUUACGUGUUCUACAUCACUUGACGGUGGCCUAGGUAGGAUGCACCAGCACAUCCUAUUUUAAAUGCCUUUUCCCCCCGGAGCAUCCCAGAACAACUCUGGGAACAAACACCUCAGACCAAGUCCACCGGGUUGACCAACAUGACUUAUCCAGGGGGGCGAAACAGCCCUUUCUCUGCUAGAGCUCCAGCCUAGAUGAUGACUUUAACUUUGAAAGACAAGCAGUGCAGUCUUUUUUUCACAAUACACAACAGUGUAUGACAAAUACUCACCUCUGUCCUCUUCCCUUGGCCACCCCUAUGCACUGUGUUCUAGAGACACUGACUGACUUUCUGGUUCCAGAACAGGACGUGAGUUGUCACCUUGCUGCAUCCUACCAUCUUGCAGUCCUGGCUCACAGGAGGCUUCCCCUAUUUUCCUGAGAUGACUUAGACACCUCCCCCACAUUCCUGACAAGCCCAGUGCUUGUCGCUGCCUGCUUUCAUUUCCAUCUCCCUCAAUGCACCAUCAACCACAAGAGUAGGGACCAUGUCUAUCUUGUCCCUAAGUGCAUUUCUAUCACCUUCCCAUGUAUAACACGUAACAGAUGGCCACUAACUGUUGCUGUCAAAUGACAGGUUUACACCAGUUUUUAAAAGGGGGCACUGGAGCUGGCCCUGUGGCAUAGUGGUUAAG